rnacentral:rRNA from 1 species
AGAGUUUGAUCAUGGCUCAGGAUAAACGCUGGCGGCGCACAUAAGACAUGCAAGUCGAACGGACCAAAUAUUUUGCUUGCAAGAUAAGAGGUUAGUGGCGGACUGGUGAGUAACACGUAAGAAAUCUGCCUAUCAGAGGGGAAUAACAGUGAGAAAUCAUUGCUAAUACCGCAUAUGCCAUAGUCAUCGCAUGGUGACAGUGGGAAAGGAGUAAUCCGCUGAUAGAUGAGCUUGCGGCUGAUUAGCUAGUUGGUGGGGUAAGAGCCUACCAAGGCGACGAUCAGUAGCCGGACUGAGAGGUUGAACGGCCACAUUGGGACUGAGAUACGGCCCAGACUCCUACGGGAGGCAGCAGUCGGGAAUAUUGCGCAAUGGAGGGAACUCUGACGCAGUGACGCCGCGUAUAGGAAGAAGGUUUUCGGAUUGUAAACUAUUGUCCACAGGGAAGAAAAAGGACAGUACCUGUGAAGAAAGCUCCGGCUAACUACGUGCCAGCAGCCGCGGUAAUACGUAGGGAGCAAGCGUUAUCCGGAAUUAUUGGGCGUAAAGGGUGCGUAGACGGGUAAACAAGUUAGUUGUGAAAACCCUCGGCUCAACUGAGGACGUGCAACUAAAACUAUUUAUCUUGAGUGCAGGAGAGGAAAGUGGAAUUCCUAGUGUAGCGGUGAAAUGCGUAGAUAUUAGGAAGAACACCGGUGGCGAAGGCGACUUUCUGGACUGUAACUGACGUUGAGGCACGAAAGUGUGGGGAGCAAACAGGAUUAGAUACCCUGGUAGUCCACACUGUAAACGAUGGAUAC